ensembl:lincRNA
GAAAUAAUGAAACAAACAAAUGAAAAACUCCUGAUUACUGAAUGCUAGUAUUUUCUUUUUCCUUUUUCUCUUUCAGCUCUCAGGAGAAGUGAUUUUGCAAAUUGCCAACGAACCUGUUCUGCCCUUUAAUGCAAUUGAUAUAGCUUUAGAAGUUCAAAACAACCUUAAAGGUGAUCAACCCAACACCCCUCAACUGUUAGCCAUGGCGUCACGCCUGCGGGAGAGUGCUGAACUUUUUCAGUCUGAUGAGAUGCGACCUGCUAAUGAUCCCAAGGAGAGAGCAUCCAGCCGCAUCCGGAUGCUGAAUGACAUUCUCCAAGACAUGGAGAAAAGCUUUCUGGUGAAGCAGGUGCCACCAGGUUUUUAUAGAAACAUCCUGUACCACCUUGAUGAAAAGACAAGCCGGUUUUCAAUACUUGUGGAGGCUUGGGAACACUGCAAACCCCUUGCAUCAAAUGAGACCCUUCAGGAAGCCCUGUCAGAGGUGUUGAACAGCAUUAAUUCAGCUCAGGUUUACUUCAAAACAGGACUUGAUGUGUUCAGGAGUGUCUUGGAUGGGAAGAAUUGAGAAAACUCUGAGCAUUUUUUAAAGUUUGCUUACAAUUCCACAAGCAAAAGCUCUAAUUUAACCAGAUUUUCUGACAUUGAAGGCUUAUUUUCCCCAAUGGCUUUUGACAAGUAUAAAGCUAUUAUUACAUUGUAUUUUUUAAAUGUAAAUAUAAAAGAACAUUUUGCACAUUUAAUAUUUUUGUAGCUACAUUUCUGAAUAUGUAAAGCAAGUUAUUGAAAUAGGACUUAAGAAUUACCUAUUAAAAAGAAAUCUGUUAUAUAUAUAUAUAUGUGUAUACACACACACACUAUUUUGAGGAGAAAGUUUCAAGAAGUUCUGGAGUAUCUUUGUUCCUAUGGGCAGAGCAUAUAGGAACACAGUUUAUUCUCUCUGAUAGAGCUAUUAAUGACCUAGUUUCUGUAAAAGAAGUGAAGAGUUGAUAUGGUUCAGAUUAACUUCACUAUUAAGUGUUCAAUAUGAAGAAUUCAAGUAUUCUGACUGAGUUGACCUAAACCACUUCGAAUGUUUCUAUUUUAUGAAAUGAAGUUUCUCUUCUUAACACAACUAGAUGUAGUAAUACACUGGUUAUGAAAUUGUAUUUUUUUAAGUAUUAAUGAAAAAAGAGCCAUAAGCAUUCCAGGGAAAAAUCUCAAGGUAGCUACACAGAGCAAUUUAAAUGCAAAUCUUUUUCAUAACAACUUACAAGGUGACUAGCUUUGAAACCCUUAAUUUGCCUCAGUUGAUUUUCUAAGAAUUUCAGGAGUGAUGUAUGUCUUAAGAGGGAGAAAAACAUAUCUUAUUACUUUUUCUCUUGUUUCUUUUGGAAACACUGAAACAGAGACUACUCUAAAAUGAAAGCAUCUCACAUUGGUUUUCUUUCUUGUAUCUUUUCUGAAACUCCUUGCUGUAAGGCAGCUUUCACAGAGUACUAUAUAUUUUCCACAGUAAAGUAGCAAAGUUUCUCUUUGAAACCCAAAAUAUCUUCUAAAGUAUCAAAUUUCUAUUUCUGCCUCUGACAAAAAUAACUUGCUAUGAAAGAAAUAGUUGUUUUUAUCAAUAAAAGCUCCUUAAUACUAUGAAGAAACUUUUGGUAUUUUUUCUUCUUUAUCCUUAAUUGUGACUAAGAUGGAAAUCUAGAAAAUAUUCAUGCUUCUAAGUUUCUACAGGGUUACUGUAAGAGAGUAUCUCAUCUACACUUCAAUUCUUCUCUCAUGUGGAAAACUAAGUUUUUUAUAUUGACAUUGUCAUUGAAUAGCUCUAGCAAUUACUAUUAUUCUCCCAAACACUAAAAUUCUACCUAUUAAGUGUCAGGUUAAAGUUCUAGUUUAUCUUUAGAAGUUUAUUUGAAAAAUGAUUUUCCUAUACUGGAUAAAGCAAUUCCCCUUAGGAAACAUAGCCUCAGAGUAUUUCAUAUAAAUUUUCUCUACCUAAUUCGAACAUACUUCCCCAUCAUACACCACCAGAGCAACAUUGCAGACAGUCUGUGUAUGUUUAAAUUUUCACUUUUUAUGGAUGAGCAUAAACCUAGUCUUAGUUUAAAGGCAAACUAAAGUUGAGGGAAGAUAAUUAAUCAAUAUUCAUUAAUUGAUUUAUAAGGUUCAACACUUUCUACCCUAAAUUAUUUUUAUACGCUCAAGGCAAAGCAUGGAAUUGAGGCAAUUAGCUAGAUAAUUUAAGCAGAAACCCAUUUUCAUGGAAAUUGCCUGUGUGCACGUAUUUUUAGAUGAAAAAUGAAACUACCUUACAAUACUAUUUUUUACCAAUGUAUUUGUUUGAAAACAUUUGCCAUGUUGAAGAAUGUGUAUAGGAAAGGGCUAGAAAUAAACAGGCUUGUGCAUACCAAGACAUUCAUGAUCUUUCUUCCUCUUCAGAGAUCAUCAGAAAAGAGGUGGGAAUACACAUGCAGGUGCAUGUGAGCCCAAACGCCAGAAAGUCUUGUACCAGAAGAACUUAAAUAUUUAACCACAGGUUGAUGUGUUCAUUCCUGUUAUUCAUUUACAGAUGAAAUUAAAACAAAGAAAGGCAAACCAUUAUCAGUUUGGUAGUUCACUAUUUUAGAGCAAAUUUCUAAAUGAAUUUAUUCCCAUAACCUGCAAUAGCACUGAGAGCAGAAAAUAUGUUUCUUCUUCAUCUUUGUUUAAAGAUUGCAUACCUAGGUAAGUCACAUUGUAUAGAUAAAAACCUUCUUCUGUAUUCCUCACCUCUAAAUUAAAUGUUAUUUGCUAUUUGAAAAGUGUAGUUAACUAUGGUUUUUAUUAGUCUAUUAAGAGAUACGUGGAGAAAUUUAAUUAUAACUAAAGCAGAUGUCCAAAAUUCUAUACAUGCUGCUUUACAUCUUUGCAACAAACCUCUUAACUAGCAGCAUUAUUUCUAUAGUGUGAUUACCUGAGGGUGCCUCCAAAUGUAUAUCAUUUCACUCCCCUCCCCACCCCACCCCCAAUAGAUCCAAAUAAAUAAAAUCCUGAGCAAGUUAAUAGCAAGUGUUAUGUGAAUUGGUAGUAGGUUUAAAUUGUUGCUGAAUUGUCCAUAUGCCUGGUGCUUCUCACAAUCUUUCAUACAUAGAAUGAUGUCUAGGAAAUAAUGAAUCUUGAAUAUUCUCUGAAGAAAAUGUGGCAAAGGUGUAACAGUGAAAUUUAUGUUCAGGCAGGGUAUGCAUGAAAUACUGCCCUUUAUGGAAAAGCGUAAGUCUCAGAAUCAAAAGAAAGCCUAAGAAGGAUUCUGGUCUAAGCCGUGAGAUCUUGCCUUCAGCCAGAGAAGGCACUAUCAGUUACCCCAACCAGAUGUAGUAACUAAACCCAAAGUGAGUAAGAAACUUGGACAUAGUCAUGUAUUUAGUUAGUAACAAAAGCACCACUGGAAUUUAAGCUUCUCUGCUUUCUCAUGCAGUAUAUCUUGCUUCUCCCUGAGGAGACAGGGUUAUAAAUGAUCUUUUCCAGUGCAUUCUAUGUAACCAGCCAUUCUAUCAGAUGUUGCAUGGGCUGGUUUUAAUUCAAGGCUAGUUCUUUCUCUGACUGUACCUGACAAACAAAACUGUCCCCAGGAAUUCAGGCAAAGGACACAAAGACUGGGUACUUGAGAGAACGUUGAGCAAACUAUUUCUGUAAGAGGGCAAGUUAGGCCAGUGUUAAUUAAAUAAUCUAAAUCACCGUUUCUCAAAAUGUGAAAUUUAGAAAGACAGGGCUAGGAAUCUACGUCUUCAGCAGGAUUUCCAGAUGUUUCUUACACACACUGAUGUUUAAGAAUUUCUAAUCUACAUUAAUCGUAGGUUCCAACGUAGGUUCCAAGAAAAUUCUAGUUGAAAUUUCUGGAUAGAUCGAACAGUCACAGUAACAAGAAAGACAUAAAUCUUUGUUAUUAAUGGAAUCAUUAUGAGAAAAGAAAAGUGGACACAUUUUAUCCCUAAGAAAACAAUUCAGGUGCAGCUUAUAUUUGCGCCUGCUACAUCCCAGGCACUGGUGUUCUAGAAUUUUUCCAUGUAUUUUUUUUUUUAAUUCCCACAACACCACAUUUAAAAAUGAGAAAACUAGGUUGAGUGACUUGUCCACAGUUUCAAAGCUAAUAAAAAUGAUGAGGCAUGUUUCUCUUCUGGGCUCACUGUAUUCAGUUCUUUGUUCUUACACUGAGUGCCGAAAAAAAAAAAAAAAUCAGACUACUUUCAUUCUAGAAAGUGAUAUAAUUGAAAAUUUUAACAUAUUUCUCCAAAAC